rnacentral:rRNA from 1 species
UGAGUAACCUGCCCUGGACUUUGGGAUAACCCUCGGAAACGGGGGCUAAUACCGGAUAUGACAUGCUCUCGCAUGGGGGUGUGUGGAAAGUUUUUCGGUCUGGGAUGGGCUCGCGGCCUAUCAGCUUGUUGGUGAGGUAAUGGCUCACCAAGGCGACGACGGGUAGCCGGCCUGAGAGGGUGACCGGCCACACUGGGACUGAGACACGGCCCAGACUCCUACGGGAGCA